GAUGAACGCUAGCGGCAGGCCUAACACGUGCAAGUCGAGGGAGAAGCCCUUUCGGGGGCAGAAACCGGCGCACGGGUGCGUAACGCGUAUGCAACCUACCUUUCACAGGGGGAUAGCCCGAAGAAAUUUGGAUUAAUACCCCAUAAUAUUAUUGGAUGGCAUCAUUUGAUAAUUAAAACUGCGGUGGUGAAAGAUGGGCAUGCGUCCUAUUAGCUAGUUGGAGUGGUAACGGCACCCCAAGGCUACGAUAGGUAGGGGUCCUGAGAGGGAGAUCCCCCACACUGGUACUGAGACAGGGACCAGACUCCUACGGGAGGCAGCAGUGAGGAAUAUUGGUCAAUGGUCGGAAGACUGAACCAGCCAUGCCGCGUGCAGGAAGAAUGCCUUAUGGGUUGUAAACUGCUUUUAUAUGGGAAGAAUAAGGCGUACGUGUACGUUGAUGACGGUACCAUAUGAAUAAGCAUCGGCUAACUCCGUG
rnacentral:rRNA from 1 species